rnacentral:rRNA from 1 species
CCUACGGGUGGCAGCAGUAGGGAAUAUUGGACAAUGGGUGCGAGCCUGAUCCAGCCAUGCCGCGUGCAGGAAGAAGGCGUUAUGCGUUGUAAACUGCUUUUGCCAGGGGAUAAAAUAACUGUGCGCAGUUGAUUGAAGGUACCUGGUGAAUAAGCCACGGCUAACUACGUGCCAGCAGCCGCGGUAAUACGUAGGUGGCAAGCGUUUUCCGGAUUUAUUGGGUUCAUAGGCUGCGUAGGAGGCCAGUGGUGAAAUAUCUCAGCUUAACUGAGAGGGUGCCAUUGAUACUGCGGGGCUGGAGUACAGAUGAGGUAGGCGGAAUUGACGGUGUAGCGGUGAAAUGCAUAGAUAUCGUCAAGAACACCGAUAGCGAAGGCAGCUUACCAAGCUGUAACUGACGCUGAGGCACGAAAGUGUGGGGAUCAAACAGGAUUAGAUACCCUAGUAGUC